ensembl:lncRNA Novel transcript, antisense to C10orf90
AAGUUGAGAUUCGGCAUCUGUGCACCACACACAUCACACCUGCUGGUGACGAGGCCAUUACCUUUUUGAAGACUUCGGCACGGAGUCUGUUACUUUGGUAGAAGACUCUCAUGACUACCUGCACGCCACCAUCUUCCCCGGCCUGGCGCAAUUGCCUUCAGGAUAUGUACAGCAUGACCCACAGGGAUUUCACUUCAUGGAAUGCAAAACCAACCUGCAUGAGCUUUGUUUGAAAACAAAACAAAACAAAACGAAAACAAAACAAAACAAAACAGAGAAAUCCUAUCUAUAAAAUUACUCUUAAUGGAAAUUCUGCCUGUAUAAAAUUAAAGUGGCAGCCAUCUGUGGAAUCCCACUGCUGAAUGACCGUUGCACAUAGCAGCUUGUUUCAGAACCCUGUCAGAUGACUUUGUGCUGGGCACCAAGUGGCAUUGUUACAGAUGCCGGGGUACACACACGGAGACAGCUCCAGGCAAGGUGCAUUGUUAGGCAAGCUUCCUGUGAGGCAAAGCUAGCCACAGAUGGAAGCCUGCACCCAACCCUACUGCCCAGAGGAACCCCAGGACCCUCAGCCAUCCCUUCCUGGAAUUGCUCAACAUAGAGGAUGCAGCUGGGCGGCAGGUAGCUUGGGGCAAGUUCUUAGCCCUGCUUGUCCACUGCCUGGAAACAGACUUGGUGCUAUUACGGAGUGCAACCAGCCCUUUGGAUUGCGUGGGAGCUGGGUGAGGCCUGUGACUGCUGGCUGUCCCCACUUCCCUGACAACCUGCAUGACUCAGCAGAGGGAGCCAUAAUCCUCCUAGAAAAGGAAAUUUGAACAUAGAGACACAGACGCAGGGAGGAUGGCCAUGUGGAGACAGAGGCAGAGACUGUAGUGCCGCAUCUACAAACCAAGGAACAUCAAGGAUUGCAGGAAGCCGCCAGGAGCAGGGAGGGAGGCUGGACACGGGAUUGACCACUGAGCCUCUAGAAAGUAACCAACCCUGUGGAAACCUCGGUUUUGACUUCUGGCCUCUAGAACUGCAAGAAAUCUCCACAAGCCACCUGCAGCUUACCACUCAGAGGAUGGGGAAUCGUGAACUGCUUCUUGCUGGUGCGGAUGGGAAGGAGGCUCUGCUUCUGCCUCAGGUCCUCCUUCCGCUGGGCUUUCCUCUGCUGGACCAUGUGUUCAAGCUUCUUCAGCCGUUCUUGUGAGCGAGAAAUGAACUGAGGCUUACGAACUUCCAGUGCUUCCUAUGCAAAGCAAAGAAAAUACGUCAUUUUUAAGAGCAGUGACACAGAAAGGCAACGCAUCUGUCUGAUGCAGCCAAGAAGCCGAUGGCAAGCACAACACUCAGAGACCAAAAGCCACGGUGCAAAAGUACGUCACGCUUUUCUUGCACAUCUUUGUGUAAAGAAGGUAACAGGCAUGUUGACAACACAGGUCCUGGGGGUCAGGCCUGGCCAGCGCCGAGGCCCCUGCUGCAGCAGGAUUGACCGGCAACUGGCAUCAAAGCUGGGAGUGCAGAGGCAACGUCUGCCCAUUCAUCUUUCUACCCUGCUGAGUCAUUUGUUCCCAAAAGACGAUCCAAAAGCCCUACAUUCUGUAUUCCAAAGAGACAUGGGAGUGGAGGGCAUGGAGGUGCUGAGUCACUUGCUUCUGUUGCACUUGGAAGCCCCAAGAAGCACAGACACAGAUCAUCCACUCAGCGUGAAAAACGUGCUCUUUCAGGAGGCACCACAACUGCGGCUGAAGGAAACAGCUCCUCCUCCUGGGUAGAAAGAGCUGGGAGGAAACCUUUGCCUAUACAGAAAGUUCUGUGAGCUCCACAAACCAUGUCAGAAGUCCCUAUGUCUCCACUCCCACCUCCAUGCACUAAGCCACCCACACAAGUCUCCUGAACAAGACUAACUGCCAUUCUGCUCCAUCCCAGAUGCCGGGCUAGGUGCUUGAUGUGUAUUCAUCACCUCGUGGAGUCCCACAACUGUUCAGGAAGGCAGGAAUAUUUCUUUCCAUUUGACAGAUGCAAAAACUGAGGCUCAUGGUAGUUUGGUAGAUCACAUGGUAACACCCUAUCCACGGGAACCCCAUUCUUUUCCUGCACUGCCUUUUAUGGUCUUAACUUCCUAUUCCUUGAGUGUCUCUGCUCAAGUUGUCCCCAGCCUGAAGUACCACCCAUAGCCAUUGGCUCAAGUUCCAUCUACCCCAGGAAUCCCUGUUGAAAUGCCCUGUUGAGCCAGAGCAUGGUGCUUCACCGAUGGGCUUGAGCAACAGUGAGUCAUAUGUUUACCUCCGUGCUAGGCUGUGAGCUCCAGGAAGUCAUGGGCCAUGUCUCAUUGACAAUGCAUCACUCACACAGUAGGAGUCCUGCAUGUAUAUGCUCAGCAAAGGCUCACUGGGCAUGCUGCCAUGACUGAAACUUUCCUCUGCCCCCUUCCUCUUCCUUGGGAGCUCAGAGUGCCCAGGCGGAAGAAGUGUGGGCUCAGUCUGUAUCACAUAUGUGUCCCUGGCAGCUACACUGGGGGAGAAGUCUUCUUGGCCAGCUCCCCACAUGGUGCCAGCCACCAGGAACAGAGAACCACAAGGUACAAGUCACUGGAUGUGCUGAAGCUUCAAGAGAGUUCCAUGCCUAAAGAGAUAACCCCUAGGAACAGCCUGGUGGCUCAGGUUUAGCUGCUGCCUUGGCUGUCCACCCCACCAAGAAUGGCCUUAGAGACUUUGGGGGCACCAUGAAUGCCUCACCCAGGUCCCACCGAGGCCCCCUGGGUACAGGAGCCAGCCAAUGGAGCCAUCUCCACAACUGCAACUGCAGGGAGAUUUGCAACCUUAUUAAGUGCCUUCCAAGAAGGUGUGGCUAGCUGUGCAAUACAGUUAGCAGAGGAUUCCUCUGAGGUUGUUUGCCUUCCUAAUUUUUAUUUCUCUGUAUUUUUUUAAACUUUAUAAAAUGUGUGCAUACUACAUUUUAUAAAACAAUUGGGAAAAGAUGCCAAACU